UUCUAUUAGAAAUAAUUAAUAGUAAAAUCUGCUCAAUGAAAUUUAAAUAGCCGCAAUAGUGCUAAGGUAGCAUAAUCAUUCGUCUUUUAAUUAAAGACUAGAACAAAAGAUAUCACAUUUCAAUUAAUUUUUUAAUAAUAAUAUUAAAACUAUUUUAAAUGUAAAAAAACAUUUCUAAAAAAGAAAGACGACAAGACCCUAUUGAACUUAACUGUAGUUAAACUGGGGCAGUUAAACAAUUUACAUUUUUAUUAAAAUAAUAAAAACAAUACCUAAUUCAAUUAAAUCAUAAACAAGUUACCAUAGGGAUAACAGCGUAAUCUUUCUCUAAAGAUCUUAUAAAAAUCAAAGCUUACGACCUCGAUGUUGAAUAAUAAACUAAUUAAUGAAAUAAUUAAUAUAGAUUAGUCUGUUCGACUAUUAAAAUAUUACA
rnacentral:rRNA from 1 species